rnacentral:rRNA from 1 species
GUGUCAGCAGCCGCGGUAAGACGAAGGGGGCUAGCGUUGUUCGGAAUUACUGGGCGUAAAGCGCGUGUAGGCGGUUUUCCAAGUUGGGUGUGAAAGCCUUGGGCUUAACCCAAGAAAUGCACUCAGUACUGGAAGACUAGAGGACCGGAGAGGAUAGUGGAAUUCCCAGUGUAGUGGUGAAAUACGUAGAGAUUGGGAAGAACACCAGUGGCGAAGGCGGCUAUCUGGACGGUUUCUGACGCUAAGACGCGAAAGCGUGGGGAGCAAACAGGAUUAGAUACCCGGGUAGUCC